UCCUAGGGAAAGCACGCUUAUACAUUCUGGAUCUGUGGACACAACCGCCUGGCUGGGUCAGGGCUGGGGCCAAGGCUGGAACAGGACCAGGAGGAAUUGGCAGGGGCCGGGGCAGAGGAUGGCCGUCUCAUCUGAUGCAACAGCCACAGCCAUGGGGCUGACGUGCGGUCAGCUGGCUGAGCAGCUGCCGAAGCCACAAGAGGAAUUCUGCCCUGUCACUGCCAGCCCUGAGCCGACCAGCAGGACGUCCUCUGUGGGGAGUGCACUGACAGCCCACACCCCGGAGAAACUCUUCUCCCAGGAAGC